rnacentral:rRNA from 1 species
AUUGAACGCUGGCGGCAGGCCUAACACAUGCAAGUCGAGCGGAGCGGCGGACGGGUGAGUAAUGCCUAGGAAUCUGCCUGGUAGUGGGGGAUAACGUCCGGAAACGGGCGCUAAUACCGCAUACUAUCAGAUGAGCCUAGGUCGGAUUAGCUAGUUGGUGUGGUAAAGGCCUACCAAGGCGACGAUCCGUAAGUGGUCUGAGAGGAUGAUCAGUCACACUGGAACGGAGACACGGUCCAGCCUCCGACGGGAGGAAGCAGUGGGGCAUAUUGGACUAUGGGAGAAAGCCUGAGCCAUCCAUGCCGCGUGUGUGAAGAAGGUCUGCGGAUUGUAAAGCACUUUAAGUUGGGAGGCGUUACCGACAGAAUAAGCACCGGCUAACUUCGUGCCAGCAGCCGCGGUAAUUC